rnacentral:rRNA from 1 species
CCUACGGGUGGCUGCAGUGAGGAAUAUUGGUCAAUGGCCGCGAGGCUGAACCAGCCAAGUCGCGUGAGGGAAGAAGGAUCUAUGGUUUGUAAACUUCUUUUAUAGGGGAAUAAAAGUAGCCACGUGUGGCGUUUUGCGUGUACCCGAUGAAUAAGCAUCGGCUAACUCCGUGCCAGCAGCCGCGGUAAUACGGAGGAUGCGAGCGUUAUCCGGAUUUAUUGGGUUAAAGGGGUGCGAAGGCGGUUGAUCAAGUCAGCGGUAAAAUUUUGGGGCUCAACCACUAAGAGCCGUUGAAACUGGUUGUCUUGAGUGAGUGAGAAGUAGGCGGAAUGCGUGGUGUAGCGGUGAAAUGCAUAGAUAUCACGCAGAACUCCGAUUGCGAAGGCAGCUUAC